rnacentral:rRNA from 1 species
ACGGGAGGCAGCAGUGGGGAAUAUUGCGCAAUGGAGGCAACUCUGACGCAGCAACGCCGUGUGCAGGAUGACGGCCUUAGGGUUGUAAACUGCUUUCAGUAGGGAAGAAGUAAUUGACGGUACCUACACAAGAAGCUCCGGCUAACUACGUGCCAGCAGCCGCGGUAAUACGUAGGGAGCAAGCGUUAUCCGGAAUUACUGGGUGUAAAGGGAGUGUAGGCGGGACUGUAAGUCAGAUGUGAAAUAUGCCGGCUCAACUGGCAGACUGCAUUUGAAACUGCGGUUCUUGAGUGAAGUAGAGGUAAGCGGAAUUCCUAGUGUAGCGGUGAAAUGCGUAGAUAUUAGGAGGAACAUCAGUGGCGAAGGCGGCUUACUGGGCUUUAACUGACGCUGAGGCUCGAAAGCGUGGGGAGCAAACAGGAUUAGAUACCCUGGUA